CCCCUUCUCGCCCAACAGCCUAUAUACCGCCGUCGUCAGCUUACCCUGUGAAGGUUUAGCAGUUAGCAAAAUCGGCAUAGCCCAAAACGCCAGGUCGAGGUGUAGCAUAUGGAGGGGGAAGCAAUGGGCUACAUUCUCUGCUACAGAGAAUACGGAUGAUGAACUGAAACGUUAAUCUGAAGGAGGAUUUAGCAGUAAGCAGAAAAUAGAGUGUUCUGCUGAAGUCGGCCCUGAAGCGCGCACACACCGCCCGUCACUCUCCCCGAAUGCCUAUUUCUUAUGUUAUUAAAACUAUUCUGCUACUUUAGGGGAGGCAAGUCGUAACAUGGUAAGUGUACCGGAAGGUGCACUUGGACACAUAC
rnacentral:rRNA from 1 species